CCUACGGGAGGCUGCAGUGGGGAAUAUUGGACAAUGGGGGGAACCCUGAUCCAGCCAUGCCGCGUGUGUGAAGAAGGCCCUCGGGUUGUAAAGCACUUUCAGUGAGGAAGAACGCCUGGUGGUUAAUACCCAUCAGGAAAGACAUCACUCACAGAAGAAGCACCGGCUAACUCCGUGCCAGCAGCCGCGGUAAUACGGAGGGUGCGAGCGUUAAUCGGAAUUACUGGGCGUAAAGCGCGCGUAGGUGGCUUGAUAAGCCGGUUGUGAAAGCCCCGGGCUCAACCUGGGAACGGCAUCCGGAACUGUCAAGCUAGAGUGCAGGAGAGGAAGGUAGAGUUCCCGGUGUAGCGGUGAAAUGCGUAGAGAUCGGGAGGAAUACCAGUGGCGAAGGCGGCCUUCUGGACUGACACUGACACUGAGGUGCGAAAGCGUGGGUAGCAAACAGGAUUAGAUACCCUAGUAGUC
rnacentral:rRNA from 1 species